rnacentral:rRNA from 1 species
UCUGACUNGAGUGCAGAAGGGGAGAGUGGAAUUCCAUGUGUAGCGGUGAAAUGCGUAGAUAUAUGGAGGAACACCAGUGGCGAAAGCGGCUCUCUGGUCUGUCACUGACGCUGAGGCUCGAAAGCGUGGGUAGCGAACAGGAUUAGAUACCCUGGUAGUNCACGCCGUAAACGAUGAGUGCUAGGUGUUAGGCCCUUUCCGGGGCUUAGUGCCGGAGCUAACGCAAUGAGCACUCCGCCUGGGGAGUACGACCGCAAGGUUGAAACUCAAAGGAAUUGACGGGGGCCCGCACAAGCGGUGGAGCAUGUGGUUUAAUUCGAAGCAACGCGAAGAACCUUACCAGGUCUUGACAUCCCGAUGCUAUUCUUAGAGAUAGGAAGUUACUUCGGUACAUCGGAGACAGGUGGUGCAUGGUUGUCGUCAGCUCGUGUCGUGAGAUGUUGGGUUAAGUCCCGCAACGAGCGCAACCCUUAUUGUUAGUUGCCAUCAUUAAGUUGGGCACUCUAGCGAGACUGCCGGUAAUAAACCGGAGGAAGGUGGGGAUGACGUCAAAUCAUCAUGCCCCUUAUGACCUGGGCUACACACGUGCUACAAUGGUCGGUACAACGAGUUGCGAGCCGGUGACGGCAAGCUAAUCUCUGAAAGCCGAUCUCAGUUCGGAUUGGAGGCUGCAACUCGCCUCCAUGAAGUCGGAAUCGCUAGUAAUCGCGGAUCAGCACGCCGCGGUGAAUACGUUCCCGGGCCUUGUACACACCGCCCGUCACACCACGAGAGUUUGUAACACCCGAAGUCGGUGAGGUANCCUUUUAGGG